AUGAAUGACAUGGUAACUAUCUGAACUAGAAAGUUCGUGACCAACUGAUGACUUCAGAGGAAACAAAUGGUCAUUGAUGUCCUUCACCCUGGGAAGGCAACAGUACCGUACCUAAGACAGAAAUUCGGGAAAAACUAGCCAAAAUGUACAAGACCACACUGGAUGUCAUCUUUGUACCUGGAUUCAGAACUCAUUUUGGUGGUGGCAAGACAACUUUCUUUGGCAUGAUUUAUGAUUUCUUGGAUUGUGCAAAGAAACAUGAAUCCAAACAUGGACUUGCAAGACAUGGUCUGUAUGAGAAGAAAAAGACCUCAAGAAAGCAAUGAGAGGAACACAAGAACAGAAAGAGGAAAGUCAGGGGGACUGCAAAGGCCAAUGUUGGUGUCGCCAAAAAGAAAUGAAGUGUCUAGCAGUGAGCUGGAGAUUGGAUCACAGCUGAAGGGGUAAAGGCAUUGCAAUGAUGUUAUCUGUGGCCAUUGUGGAUUUUUCACAGGAAGAUUAAUAAACUAAAAACUU